UACGUAGGCAGCAAGCGUUGUUCGGAAUUACUGGGCGUAAAGAGUGUGUAGGCGGUGUUCUAAGUUUGUCGUGAAAUCUCCCGGCUUAACUGGGAGGGUGCGGCGAAAACUGGAAUGCUAGAGGAUGGGAGAGGUAAGCGGAAUUCCUGGUGUAGCGGUGAAAUGCGUAGAUAUCAGGAGGAACACCUGCGGUGUAGACAGCUUUCUGGACCACUUCUGACGCUGAGACACGAAAGCGUGGGUAGCAAACAGG
rnacentral:rRNA from 1 species